UAUUCUAUUACGUCAUCAACGCAAAAAUGGUUGUCAAUUCUUAGUACAUAUGCAGUACGUUCUUUUAUCUUUAUGCAACUUGCUAUAUGAAGAUUUUACACUGCUGUUUUUUAAGCCUUGGAAGCUAUUGUUUUUGUGAUUUAACACUUCCAUCCCAAGUGACUAGUUAAAACCGUGAAGCAUUGAAGAGUGAUUCUAUUACCGUCAAGGAGACGCCAUUUUGUGAUUUAGUGCCAUUGUUAUUCGCAUCAAUGUGCAUGAUAAAAAUUUCUUACGUAUUCUAAUUUAAAUUGAAAUAAUAUUUCCAUUGUACCGUGUUUUUCUAACGAUAGAAUUAAAAGUGUUGUCAGUGACAAAUUUUUAAGAUGCAAAAUUGACUACCGUAGUCAAUGUCACGAGUUUACAGUAUCUGCUGAUGCGUCAGCAUUUACUUUAUGACAUCGAUUGGAUUUUAUACGUUAACUGAACUGUUUAUAUGAAUGUGUUAUUGCUCAUCUUUACAAAACAUGAUUAUUUUAACUUCCUACAUCAUAUUUUGGUCAAAAUGUUAUAAUAUAAGAAAAGUCAAUUAUUUAUGACUCGCCAUGUUUGAUGUGUAACGGAACUUGCUGUGAGAUGAUGACACACACACGUCAUGCCAGAAUUUCAUUCUAUUCGCGCGCAAUGUUCGCCACGUGUAGUUACAGAAUCGUGGAAUUGGACCAAGGCUUGCGCGGUGAUUAAUAAAUUUUGAACUUCUAUUUCAAAUAAGAAAAUUAAUAACUGUUUAUAUUCCAAAAUGUUAUGUCGUGACUUCUGAAAUUAUCUGUUAUUAAUAAUUAUAUUUAUAGAUCAUUAUUUUUGUGACGUAAAAAUGCAUUAUGGGUGGACAUGGAACGAUGGAAAUUAACCAUUAAUUUUUGUGUUGGUUAAGAAAGUGUAUUCUCAUUUUAUGAAUGAGAAAGUGCAAUUAUUGUAUAUCUCAAUGCCUGUAUCCUUAAUGUACCUACUUAUUAUCUUUAACAAUAAAGAAUCAAAAAUAUCUGUGAAUAAAA